rnacentral:rRNA from 1 species
GAUGAACGCUGGCGGUGUGCCUAAUACAUGCAAGUCGAACGCGUUGGCCCAAUUGAUUGACGGUGCUUGCAUCUGAUUGAUUUUGGUCGCCAACGAGUGGCGGACGGGUGAGUAACACGUAGGUAACCUGCCCAGAAGCGGGGGACAACAUUUGGAAACAGAUGCUAAUACCGCAUAGCAACGUUGUUCGCAUGAACAACGCUUAAAAGAUGGCUUCUCGCUAUCACUUCUGGAUGGACCUGCGGUGCAUUAGCUUGUUGGUGGGGUAAUGGCCUACCAAGGCGAUGAUGCAUAGCCGAGUUGAGAGACUGAUCGGCCACAAUGGGACUGAGACACGGCCCAUACUCCUACGGGAGGCAGCAGUAGGGAAUCUUCCACAAUGGGCGCAAGCCUGAUGGAGCAACACCGCGUGAGUGAAGAAGGGUUUCGGCUCGUAAAGCUCUGUUGUUAAAGAAGAACACGUAUGAGAGUAACUGUUCAUACGUUGACGGUAUUUAACCAGAAAGUCACGGCUAACUACGUGCCAGCAGCCGCGGUAAUACGUAGGUGGCAAGCGUUAUCCGGAUUUAUUGGGCGUAAAGAGAGUGCAGGCGGUUUUCUAAGUCUGAUGUGAAAGCCUUCGGCUUAACCGGAGAAGUGCAUCGGAAACUGGAUAACUUGAGUGCAGAAGAGGGUAGUGGAACUCCAUGUGUAGCGGUGGAAUGCGUAGAUAUAUGGAAGAACACCAGUGGCGAAGGCGGCUACCUGGUCUGCAACUGACGCUGAGACUCGAAAGCAUGGGUAGCGAACAGGAUUAGAUACCCUGGUAGUCCAUGCCGUAAACGAUGAGUGCUAGGUGUUGGAGGGUUUCCGCCCUUCAGUGCCGGAGCUAACGCAUUAAGCACUCCGCCUGGGGAGUACGACCGCAAGGUUGAAACUCAAAGGAAUUGACGGGGGCCCGCACAAGCGGUGGAGCAUGUGGUUUAAUUCGAAGCUACGCGAAGAACCUUACCAGGUCUUGACAUCUUGCGCCAACCCUAGAGAUAGGGCGUUUCCUUCGGGAACGCAAUGACAGGUGGUGCAUGGUCGUCGUCAGCUCGUGUCGUGAGAUGUUGGGUUAAGUCCCGCAACGAGCGCAACCCUUGUUACUAGUUGCCAGCAUUAAGUUGGGCACUCUAGUGAGACUGCCGGUGACAAACCGGAGGAAGGUGGGGACGACGUCAGAUCAUCAUGCCCCUUAUGACCUGGGCUACACACGUGCUACAAUGGACGGUACAACGAGUCGCGAACUCGCGAGGGCAAGCAAAUCUCUUAAAACCGUUCUCAGUUCGGACUGCAGGCUGCAACUCGCCUGCACGAAGUCGGAAUCGCUAGUAAUCGCGGAUCAGCAUGCCGCGGUGAAUACGUUCCCGGGCCUUGUACACACCGCCCGUCACACCAUGAGAGUUUGUAACACCCAAAGUCGGUGGGGUAACCUUUUAGGAGCCAGCCGCCUAAGGUGGGACAGAUGAUUAGGGUG